CCUCCUUGCUGCCUUUUCCCGGUUGAUUUUUGUGAAGAGACGUCCAAACCGCCAAACCACAGGGCUGAGACGGAUCUGUUGGGGCAAGACAGGAGCGCCAUCUACAGGCAGAUGUAUAGAAGUACACACCAGAGGAGGAGCACUGGGUCGCACUCUCACACCUGAAAGCUCACACACACACGCACACGCACACUUCAUAAACAGACAAGACACUGAAAAGCUGCUGAAAUGAACACUGUUCUGAUUAUUUCAAGCAGUCCUGCUCAUCAACACGGACAUGUCUACUUAUCUCAGGCAAAAUGAAGGUGCCUUAAGAAGAUGAAUGUUGAAGACUGUAAAGAAAAAACAUCGACUGUGAAAAUGACUAGUUUGUUGUUUUUAAAACCCUCAGGGAAAUCUGGAAUAUAACUUUCUCUGUCAUCAUUAUGAAGCUAAAGACAUCUCUUAAAGCUGUAUUUUCAUUUGUAAAUUCUUGUUUAAGUUUGGGACAAAGUUUGAGAAACUGUCACCCUGACAUUUAUUUUCUUUUGCAAAAUUGUAAAUGUUUCAUUAUGCCAAAAACACUAGACACUCAUUAGUUUUAUGAAUCUUAACUAGCAGGAUCAAAGAAUAAUUAACAAAUGAGAUCUGACCAACACAUUUCAGAGUAUAACAAUCCUUUAUUUAAACAGUGUUACACAGGGGAGGAGUGGCUGUGCGUGGGGGAGACACAAGACAAUUAAGCUGCUAGAUAGAAAAACCCUACCGGUGAUCAUUGGUUGGCUAAAGCGGGAAUGAUGAGGCAGCUGUGGUUGGUUUUACAAGAUGUGUUUCUUUUUUUCUUUUUCUUUUUACAAAGUUUUUGUUGGGAGUUUUUAAAUAGUUAAAAUACAAAAUGGACAGUUUUAAAAUCAGCUGGCGUAGAAUCAGUUGCUCGGAUUGACUAUGAAGCUGCCACUGUAAGUACUGUCUGUGCUGUGCUGUAUCUUAAUAAAUGUUACUGAUGGCAAGACAUACAUUUUUUGAUUGCAUUUUAAUUAACCUCAAAUACAAUUCCAACAUUUUGGAAAACCAGACCGCAGCCGCACUAAAAGCUCCUGUGAUUGGUUAAAAGAGCCCAGACCCCUGAAAAGAGGUUAAACCUGGAGCUAAAAGUACAAAGAAGAAAUGGUGGCAGACAAUUUGAUUUAUAGUGGUGUGUUCCUCCAAUGUCAAACACACUGACAAUAUUAAAAAUAUCCAAUAGAGCGCACAUUAAAUCCCAUCUUUCAACAACUAGAUCAGUUUCACAGAGAAAAUUAAAUCUACAAAUACAGUUGUUGUGAUAUAACCAAUGCUUUUUAAGUGAUUUCUUUUGAAACAGUGAAAGCUUCCAAAGCUGCCUAGCGUUGCACGGU